rnacentral:rRNA from 1 species
CCAGACUCCUACGGGAGGCAGCAGUGAGGAAUAUUGGUCAAUGGGCGGGAGCCUGAACCAGCCAAGUCGCGUGAGGGAAGACGGUCCUAUGGAUUGUAAACCUCUUUAGGCGGGGAGCAAUGCCGGGCACGCGUGCCCGGAGGGAGAGUACCCGCAGAAUAAGCAUCGGCUAACUCCGUGCCAGCAGCCGCGGUAAUACGGAGGAUGCGAGCGUUAUCCGGAUUUAUUGGGUUUAAAGGGUGCGUAGGCGGAUUUUUAAGUCAGCGGUAAAAUGUCCGGGCUCAACCCGGGCCGGCCGUUGAAACUGGGGAUCUUGAGUGGGCGAGAAGUAUGCGGAAUGCGUGGUGUAGCGGUGAAAUGCAUAGAUAUCACGCAGAACUCCGAUUGCGAAGGCAGCAUACCGGCGCCCGACUGACGCUGAGGCACGAAAGCGUGGGGAUCGAACAGGAUUAGAUACCCCAGUA